GGCCCAAAAGUGUAUUUUUAAGGGAAGGUUUUUAAAUAAACUUUACCAAUUUGGGGCUGUUUGGUAGAAUAAAAGACCACACUCCACAGUGGACUGUAGCACUUCCACAGCUCACGACUAUUUGGUGGCCUACAUU
ensembl:snoRNA